GGAGAGAGAGAGGCUAGGGCGCUGAGAGAGAAGGAGCAGGAGGCUCCUGGACAGCGGUCGCCAGGCUCUUCAGGGGUUCAGGGGGGUCUCCAAGAGAGAGAGAGCUUUUGUGAGGGGAACUUUAUGUGAGAGAGAAUUGGGUAUACAAGGGUUGAGGGUGAGGUCUCCUCUUGUAAAAUUUUCUUUUCAUAGUGAAGUUUGCAUGCUCCGUGGAGGCGAGCCCUUUUG
rnacentral:lncRNA from 1 species